CGUCACAUGAAUGAAGCAAACAUUAAUUCUGAAUGAUGAAUAAGCUAAAUCAUGCAAAUAUAACUUGUUAGUAGAUAAUGGAACUAACGGGACUGCCCUGUUAGGGCUCCUGACAGACGUUCACUAUGGUGCAUCAAGUUUUUUGGAACCUCUCCAGCGCGCUGACAGUGAACAAUGAUUAAUUUAAUAUUGACUUCGGGGUGCUCUUUAAGAAGCGUGAGGGAAAUUCCCGCCCAGACCAGACCCUUACUGUGAGCUGCCCAGGAGGAGACACAUCAUCCGCAAAACAAUUGAGGGACGACAACUGAUUUCAUCAGUAACCAUGCCCAAGUGAGCACAGACAUUGUGUCGGCGUGAUGGACGAUCAACGAUAUUGCUCUUGCUGCGGGUGAUUCCUUGAUCCACCUCUACGCAGAUGACACCAUUCUGUAUACAUCUGGCCCUUCUUUGGACACUGUGUUAACAAACCUCCAAACGAGCUUCAAUGCCAUACAACACUCUUUCCAUGGCCUCCAACUGCUCUUAAAUGCUAGUAAAACUAAAUGCAUGCUCUUCAACCUAUCGCUGCCCGCACCCGCACGCCUGACCGACUAGCAUCAGUACUCUGGACAGUACUGACUUAGAAUAUGUGGACAACUAAAAAUACCUAUGUGUCUGGCUAGGCUGUAAACUCUCCUUCCAGACUCAUAUUAAGCAUUUCCAAUCCAAAAUUAAAUCUAGAAUCGGCUUCCUAUUUCGCAACAAAGCCUCCUUCACUCAUGCUGCCAAACAUACCCCCGUAAAACUGACUAUCCUACCGAUCCUCGACUUCGGUGAUGUCAUUUACAAAAUAGCCUUCAACAUUCUAGGGCGAACUGAAACACUAUCUGAAGAAGAACAUGAAGAAAUGCCAGAAAGAUGAGUGCCAGCAGGAAGGGGGUGGUUGAGAGAAAACCAAUAAUGCUGUGAAAGGAUCCAGGAACCCAAAGUAUUUGGGUGGAUCCCGUCCUCCUUAUAAAACAUGUUUUGUUUCCAAAAGGUAUCGAAAUUGUUAACAAAAGUUACACUCAUUGAGCUGCAAUAAUCACGAAGCCAGUUGUGAAGAGAAAUAAACCUGCUAAAGCAUUCAAUGCCACGAUUCAGAGGGCACAGAGCCUAAUAUGAUGGGUCUUUUGUUAGUGUCUAGCAGAGAGUCAAUCAGCUCUUUAAAAUCCAGUUUCAACUGUUCAGAGCUGCCGUCAUAAUGUCAUUAAAACCCACAUGAACUACAAUAGAAUCGAUUUCCAUGUCCUGACGUAGUACCAUCGGGAACAGCUUAGUAAUGUCAUUUCUCAAGCUCCGGUAUAGGACAUUUUUGAAUAUACUGUAUGUCAAUGUAAAUGUAUAUUCUGCCAGUAUCGAUGUGUCGGUGUGUGCUAAGUUGAGGGUCUUAAAUUAAAGUGAUAGAACCAAUGUGAAGCUCUAAGGACUGUCAUUCUAAAUUUGGGGUGGAUAAUUUAUCAAUAGUUAUAAUUAUGAUUUGGAAAUGCGAGGCUUCUUGAGACAGAGCUAUGCCCCUAAAAUGUGAGGAGAGACACUAGAUUGUAGCUUGGGAUAACCUUGCACCAAUCUCAUUCUUAUCAAUGUUGGUGUGAAACUGUUAUAACAUGUGUUUUAUCUCAUCCCUGUGAAAGUCAAUAUGCAUGUGCCCUAGACCAAAUUCGGAAGAUAUCUAGAGACAUAGAGAAAAUUGUCAAUGCUAAAAAAAAAAAGUAAAUUGGCUCUGCAAAACAGAGAGGCUCUUGACUAUCUUUUGGCAGGUCAAGGGGGCACUUGUGCAAUCAUUGGCGAUGAAUGUUGUACUUUUGUUCCAGAUUACUCUUCUGAUAUGACUGAUCUCGCUGAAUACAUUGCCACUGUUGCUAAGAAUAAUUCCCCACAACCAGAGUGGAUGCCUGCAACUUGGUUGGAAUUCCUGUUUGGAAGUUGGGGAUCCCAAGUUGCAAAAUGGGCUGCAGCGUGUGUUUAUUUCUUAGUUUGUCUAAAUUGUGAUAUUUAACAUGCUGUGUAUGUGUGUGUGUAUUUUUUAUCAAUUCACUCCUGUUAAUAAAAGUAUAACCUUUAUUAUGAUGAUAAUAUUAGCAUACUAAUUGGAUUGUACAACCAAGAAUGAAGGGUUUGAAAUGAUGAAGUGUCUGGUUUUAUGUGAUGAUUUCCCUUACUUAAAUAGAAAUAUGAUAUGCAAGCUAAAAUCUAAAUGCUUACAUUGAAAUGUUAUGAUUAUUAUCACACAAGUGAUAAGAGGAUGGAAUGUGAUGGCCAUUUUUAUGUUUGUGCUUUUCUAAUAACCAGUUUCUGUGCUCUGUUUGUGCUUUUCUAUAAACCAAUUUCUGUGUU